rnacentral:rRNA from 1 species
UACGAGAGGCCCAAACGUUAUUCGGAUUUACUGGGCUUAAAGAGUUCGUAGGCGGUCCAGAAAGUGGGGUGUGAAAUCCCUCGGCUCAACCGAGGAACUGCAUUCCAAACUACUGGACUCGAGGGGGAUAGAGGUAAGCGGAACUGAUGGUGGAGCGGUGAAAUGCGUUGAUAUCAUCAGGAACACCGGAGGCGAAGGCGGCUUACUGGGUCCUUUCUGACGCUGAGGAACGAAAGCUAGGGGAGCAAACGGG